rnacentral:lncRNA from 1 species
GUCACUCACCCCCCCCCCCGCCCCCCAUCUCUCUCCGGGGGCUCUCGCGCAGCUGGCCCAGCAGACGCAGGGGCAGGCGCUGGCGUUUCUGCAGCAGCGGGCGGAGCAGGAGGCCUUGGAGACGCAGAUGGCGCUGAACAGGAUGCUCCUCCGACACCAGCUGCAGGUGUCCUCUGCGCCGCUGGCCCCAGGCCGUGCCCCCUCCCAGCCCUGGGGCUCCAGCCCUGGCCUCCCCGCGUGUCUGCCAGGCACCUGCCACCGUGCCCGGCCCUGCGGCCUCCAGUCGGCCCCACUUGGAAGAUGGACAAACGAGGCCCUGGGGUUGGAGACCUGCCCGAGACCGGACUCCUCCUGGGGACCCCGGCCUGGCGCGGCUGGCCCAACCCAGCACCCUCAGGUGGUGGAGCCACCCUGCGCCCCGCCCGCAGCACACGCCCCCUCCCUGUGCUCGCAGCGGCUGAUGCAGAAACACUCGGCCCAGGCCAGGCAGGAAAUGGCUUCGACGCCGGAGCGGCUGCCGAGCCGUGGGGACCCAGCGCCGAGGACGAGCUCUCCCAGGACCGUGGCGGCCAGACCCUGGUCACACCCACCCCUGGGCACAGACGCCGCUGUAUCCUCGCCCAGGGAAGGACGGGCGAGUGUGGCCGGCACGCCAGCCCCUGCAGAGCUGGAGAGGCCUGACCAAGCCCCCUCCCAGCUGCCCAUGGCCAAGCUCUGCCCUCCGGACCACCCUACCCAUCAGUGGAGCCCCGCGAGGCCCCGAAGCGCCGAGCCGCUGGGAGAUCUCGGAAGCUUGGGCCGCUUCAAGCUGCGGAUGCUGGAGCAGAGCCUGCACGAGGAGGAGCUGCGCGCGCAGCACCAGGCCGCGCUGCUGCGCCUGCGCGAGAUGGCGCUGGAGGAGAAGACCCGCGCCGAGCUGGUCUGGCUGGAGCAUAAGCGGGGGUGUCUGGGGAACAGGGAGGACAAAGCCAUGCUGGCCGAGCUUUCGGAGAAGCAGCAGCAAGCCCUCAGCACGUUUGAGAAGGAGCAGAGGGAAAUCCGACACCUGCGGAACAUCCACCUGUUCAUGCACCGCGACAGGAAGCUGCUGCUGCAGCAUCAUAAGGACAUCCUGUCCCUGCAGAGGUCCAUGGCCCACCUGCAGCAGGAGCUGCAAGCCGGGACCAAGCUGCCGCAGAGUUCCAGCCCCAAAGGCAAGGUCACCUGGGAUGGGGGCUCUGAGAAAAGCCUGCAGCCUGAGGGGCUGGCACAGGGCUCCCCGUGUCCCCUGAACCCACCCAGGCCUGGCAGCCCCACCGGCCAGCACUCCCGGAGCAGCCCUGCAAGCUUGGAAGUCACGCGCCUCCCCGCUGAGCAGCAGGACACGACACCCCCCCAGACAACUUCGGACACCGACGGUCACCUACAACCUCCGACACCAGCGUGGGGACAGGACACACUCAGCGCCCCGGACCGGCUGGUGGAAAGUGGCAGUCAUGUCGGCCAAGAGCCUGGGAAGCGGCCUCUCGUCCCUCUGCUGGGUCUUGAGCCCACGAGCUCCCUGGACACCGGGCAGCAGCCGGGCCCGGCCUUUCCUGCCACGGUGGCAGAGGAGCGCCACCCCACGGCUCAGCACAGCCCACAGGAGGCGAAGGACCCGCCCCCAGGAGACCCUCAGACCACGCCCUGCCCCUCCUCCGCAGAGGAGCCAGAUGGCCACACGUGGGGCCCCCCAGCUCAGCGCCAGCACUCCCGGGACAGAGGGGGGCCUUGUGGCCCCCAGGAAGCUAGCCAGGCGGCUGAAGGCGCCACGAUCCAAGUGCAGUUGGGGCCCCGUCUUGCCGGGAGCCCCCCAGCGGAGCCCCAGGACACAGAGAGCUGGUGGUCAGGGGAGCAGAGGUGCAGAGCUGCAGCCGGGGAGAGCCCGGGCAGGGGUGGGGCGUGCAUGGGGCAUGGAGACGGGGAGACAGGUUCCGCCUGCACUUCCGGUCUGCUCACUGCUCCUGGGCGGGCAUGCAGGUCUCACCUGCCCUUUCUGACUCUGACCCACGAUCAGAGACACAGACGAGCGGGCUCAAGGUCUGGCUGUGAGGCCAGCAGAGGGCCCUGCCCUGAGCGUGGGCUGUCCCAGCCCUCUGGGAAUGGUGACCUCCCGUCUGCUCCCUGAGCCUGUGGGACUGGGACCAGACACCUCCAAAGACAAGCCCCCAGGAGCCCUGUGCUCUGAGGGCCACCUCCAAUGGCGGCCGAGGACUGGCUGGGGUGCUUUCCAAGCAUGUGCGGUGUUGGCCGAUCCCUGGGGGGGUUCCCUUGACAGCCAGCCUGGGGAGGAGGCAGGAGGCUGGGCCCCCCUUGGGGGCUCCCCAGAACUCCUCCUCUAACGUGCUUGCAGGACAGAGGCCUGUCUGCAGGAGCCGGGGGUCGCCUCUGCCCGUCUGGAAGACGCCUGGCUGGCCGCCUCUCCAGGUGCUGCCCCGCCCCCGGCCCCUCCCUCUCCCUCUCCAGCCCACUUAAGGGUCCUCCCAGACCGGCUUCCACGAACCCCCGGGGUGACGGCCUCAGCUGGUCUGGGG